UACGAAGGGGGCUAGCGUUGCUCGGAAUCACUGGGCGUAAAGCGCACGUAGGCGGCUUCUUAAGUCAGGGGUGAAAUCCUGGAGCUCAACUCCAGAACUGCCUUUGAUACUGAGGAGCUUGAGUCCGGGAGAGGUGAGUGGAAUUCCUAGUGUAGAGGUGAAAUUCGUAGAUAUUAGGAAGAACACCAGUGGCGAAGGCGGCUCACUGGCCCGGUACUGACGCUGAGGCGCGAAAGCGUGGGGAGCAAACAGG
rnacentral:rRNA from 1 species